ACAAUGGGUGACCAUACAUUGUUUGGCCUACCCGACCUUCUCUGUAAAUAACUUUAUUGUGUAAAAACAAACUGUAAUUUACAACGUUUCUUGUAUAUUAUCUGUGAAAAUAGCUUCUUACACGGAGUAGCAAUUCAGAUUGCUGUCCAAAGAACUUCAGCCAAGAUGAAGUAUUUGCUGAUAUAUAGGCAAUAUAAAUAACGCCGUUAUGUACACCCAGCAAAAUCUUGACGUUCACUUUAGCCACUGACAUAUUUGUCAAUGAGCGGCUAUAAUGCAAUACAUAACCUUAUCGUAUCGAUAUAGCGGGCUGUAGUUUGUCAGGAAAUAAGUGUAUAUUUUGGUACUAGCGCCCAAAUCGUUUCUUCGAAUAAUUAGUGGAAUUAUUUGUCAAUGCCAACGAACAGAUGAAUAGCUACAAAUAGUGAAAUUUCGAGUAGAUGAGGACUACCCCACUAAAAUUGUGUUAGUGCACGUUCAGGUUCUCGGGCUUUUCGAAGCAGUUUCAAUGCCGUACGUUGUGAAGUGUUUACUCUGCGAGAAUGACGCUAACAACGUCAAGGAUGGCACUCAGUUUUUCAGGGUGCCCGUCGAUGUAGACGUCCGAGAACGUUGGCAAAACGCUCUGCAGUGCAAAAAAUUUUCUAGCAGAAAUUUCAUAUGCUCAAAACAUUUCAAUCCCGAUGAUUUGCAAUGUGUUAGCGGCCAAAUAUUUCUCGGAAAGCAUGCACUUCCUAUACACCCGGAUAAAAAGGAAUCCCAUCUGCAGUCAGAUUUGAUCACGAUGCCAAUGAUAAAUUUGCAAAUCGAUAGAAAUUCAAGCGACGAAGAAUCGACGGCCGAAAGUGUAGUAUCGCCAAUGCGAACGGAACGCUUUGUAGCCCCGGAAGAGCCACUAAAGUAUAUUAGUAGAAUUCCAAUUUUUCAUCUACAAACUGUACAGUGUGGAGAGUAUGGAAAACCAAUACAAGCACCACUUAAGGAUACCAUAUCCCAGGGAACUCAAACUUCAAUAGAUGAUGUUGCAUCGGUUGCUCCAAAAUCGAUUGGAACCCAAAUUCCUGAUAGCGAAGAUAUGGAGUACUUCAAUCCCGAAGAAACGCUUAUCCAACAGAGUAACGAAGCAAAUGAAUUAGCAAAAGCAAAUUCAACCAUUCAGGACCUGAACGAGCUGCUAAAGGAGAAAAAUGCUUCAAUACAUUCCUUGCAAAAUAAAAUACUACACCAGACGCGAAAAAUAAACCACCUGAUCAAAAUCAUAGGCAAUCUAAGAAGAGCAGGCUUCAGAUACAAUGUUGCUCCACUUCAUGGCAAUAACUAUUCUCCAAGCAAUGGACUUAAAAGUGCUGCCGGGGAAAUAAAAAUACAAACAAUUCAGGCUGUUCCUCCUGAAGUGGAAUCUACUAAAACCAACCACCCAGUAGUAAGUAAAGCUACGGUUGUGGCACAAACGGCACAUGGUCCGGCACUACCAAGGAUUUAGACAAGAUCGAAGUCUAUAUCUCAUUCCAAACAGGCGGAAAGAAGUAAAAGAUGACAUUUAUUGAAAAGAUGUUACAUAGUUCUUCCAAAUAUCAGACAAAGGAAAAUGAAACGUAUUAAAUACGACUAAUGGCAAUAAUUUAAUUGACUCAAAGCAACAGUGAAGAUGCUACCAAUAUGAUAUAAAAUUGAAUUGAAUUGGAGAUGUGAUUGCAUGUUCAACAAUGAAUUUACUAAAAGUCUAAAAUUAGAGAUAGGAAUAAUGUCUUGAUCAAGGGUAUGGUGAUUUCUCUUUUCUGUUUUUAACUUAUUCGAAUUUUUUAUUCAUUUGUAUAAUUUUGCCCACACCCUUAAGGGAGUGAAAUAAUCGAUCAAAAAUGUGCUAUAUUUAUUAACAUGAAAGGUGUCCGGGAGCAAAUCAGGAUCUCAGAAUUAUAUAAUAAAAAAAUUCCGAAGUAUAUUAAUUUAAUAAAACCAGUUUUUUAAAUGAAAAGAAUUUUGAUUUUACCAUUA
rnacentral:misc_RNA from 1 species